ACGCCUGCGGAGGCCGCGCGGCGGCUGGGGCGGCGGGCAGGGCGCGUGCGGGCGGGCGCGGGCCGGGCGGCGGCAUGGCGGAGAGCGAGGCCGAGACGCCCAGCACCCCGGGCGAGUUCGAGAGCAAGUACUUCGAGUUCCACGGCGUGCGGCUGCCGCCCUUCUGCCGCGGGAAGAUGGAGGAGAUCGCCAACUUCCCCGUGCGGCCCAGCGACGUGUGGAUCGUCACCUACCCCAAGUCCGGCACAAGCUUGCUGCAGGAGGUGGUCUACUUGGUGAGCCAGGGGGCCGACCCCGACGAGAUCGGCUUGAUGAACAUCGACGAGCAGCUCCCAGUCUUGGAGUACCCGCAGCCGGGCCUGGACGUCAUCAAGGAGCUGACGUCUCCCCGUCUCAUCAAAAGCCACCUGCCCUACCGCUUCCUGCCCUCCGACCUCCACAACGGUGAUUCCAAGGUCAUAUACAUGGCUCGGAACCCCAAGGACCUGGUGGUGUCCUAUUACCAGUUCCACCGCUCCCUGCGGACCAUGAGCUACCGAGGCACUUUCCAGGAGUUCUGCCGGAGGUUCAUGAAUGAUAAACUGGGCUACGGCUCCUGGUUCGAGCACGUGCAGGAGUUCUGGGAGCACCGCAUGGACUCGAAUGUGCUUUUCCUCAAGUACGAAGACAUGCACCGGGACCUGGUGACAAUGGUGGAGCAGCUGGCCAGGUUCCUCGGGGUGUCCUGCGACAAGGCCCAGCUGGAGUCCCUGAUCGAGCACUGCCACCAGCUGGUGGACCAGUGCUGCAACGCCGAGGCUCUGCCUGUGGGCCGGGUUUUGUUUUCUCUGUCUUUUGUUGUCCUCGGAUGUGAGCUUCUCCCCGACGCCCCUGCGGUUCGUUUGUGUGCACAUUGCCUCUUUGCUCAGAAGACCUCCUUGCGUUGGUGAGGAUGCAGGGGCUUGAGUAGCCAGCUGCAUUGCUUAAAUUUGAUUCAUGUCCCAGCAUAAAUUGCACUGUCUUGAUUCCAAAUCCUAAACCAGGAAGAGUGGGGCUGUGGAAGGACAUCUUCACCGUCUCCAUGAACGAGAAGUUUGACCUGGUGUAUAAACAGAAGAUGGGGAAGUGCGACCUCAUGUUUGACUUCUAUUUAUAAUGACGCCAACAGCGAACCUGCAUGCUCAGUACCCGCCACUCCACCAGCGCACGUCCUGUAGGCACUCAUCUCUCACGCGCGGGACAAACUCUGGAAGCCGUCCGUGUAAGACCCGGGGGAGGGGGGACCCGGAGGAGCUGGAGGAAGGGGGAUGGUUUCCUUUCCAGAGCAGCUGUCCCGGCUCUGGGAUUUGACGUCUCUCCGUGUCUGGUUACAAACAUGAUAAAGAUUGAGUCCUGACGGCCUGUACCAUAGUCUAGAGUCUGUGACAUCUGCGGCUAGAGUGUCUGCCUGUACUCCCCCACAUUAGUCACUGUAUUUUAUAGAGCUUUUCACUGGAAAUCUAAAUAAAUGUCAGUAAACCAAAUAAAUGUUCAUUUCCGAGGGGACUCAGGAGCGAGCCACGCCCGACUGGUAGAAAGAUCUCAGGAUUGACUCUUUACUUUUCUAUCUUUAUUCUGAGGCACAGCCAUGCCCAGCUCACCUGGUUCUGAGAUGCAGGUGAGGACAGAGGAGGGGCUCAGGUGUGGGAGGAACUCGUUCCUUCCCCUGGGGCUCAGUUCUCUGCCCUCCCGGAAAUCCAGCAGAAGCUGGCCACCGGGGCAUUCCCGCAAGGAGGCCCCACUGCUGGAGGCUUCCCGCGGGCGGCUCCAAAGGCCCGACACAGAGGAGCCUGUGGAACAUUCCACGAGGGAACCGGCCGGGCGAGGCCAGCAGCCGGGAGUUGGCCACGGCCACCGGAGAACCCACCACAGAGACACUGAACACUCGGAGUCGGAGUCUCACUCCACGGCCUUGCCUUUGUUCCCUGAAGCAGACGGCUGCUCGUGCCGGCGAGCUGGCGAGUAAAUUUCUAGGAUUCCUGGGUCUGUAGCUGUCGUCGAGUGGUCUGCUGUACCCGAGGCGCUCAGCUGUGGGAGAAGGAUCGGCAAGCUGGACGCCCUGUGUCCCUCAGGCUGGCUGGCAGGCUCGCCCCGUCGCUGUCCACCCCGUCCCUCAGUCCCUCAGUGUGUCUGAGGGAGGAGGUGGUGUCUUUGUUGCCUUGCCGCUGCCUUCGUUUUCUGGCCCAUGUUUGGCUGGAGGAGUGACAGACGGCCGGGCAGCGGCAGGGCGGGACGCCAGCUUGUGUGCAUGUGGCCCCGUGGCGGGAUGGGUUGUCUCGGUUAUUUUUGUGGCUGGGCCAUGCCCAGUGGUGCUCAGAGGGGUCACUGCUGUGUGAGCGGCUCUGUUCCUUCUUGCUGUCCUGGGAGCGGUGCGGACGUACUCUCAUGGGCGGUUUGUAAAGGAGAGCAACGUGAACAGGGCGGGUGGGCUGUGGCAAUUCAUGGUGGGCUUGGCAGCUCCUUUUCUGUGUAUCUAGGAGGGAGGCUGCUUUCUGUGAAAUUUCUUUUCUAUUUUUCUAUUUUUAGUACUGUAUGGAUAUUACUGAGCACCACACACGGUCCUUCUGUGCUUGCUUGCAUCUUUAAUAAACUCACGUCCCAUG